rnacentral:rRNA from 1 species
UGGGGGAUAUUGCACAAUGGGCGAAAGCCUGAUGCAGCGACGCCGCGUGGGGGAUGAAGGCCUUCGGGUUGUAAACUUCUUUUGCUCUGAACAAGGCAUGCUAAUGGGUGUGUUGAGUGUAGGGGUUGAUUAGCGCCGGCUAACUACGUGCCAGCAGCCGCGGUAAUACGUAGGGCGCGAGCGUUGUCCGGAAUUAUUGGGCGUAAAGGGCUUGUAGGUGGCUGGUUGCGUCUGUCGUGAAAGCUCAUGGCUUAACUGUGGGUUUGCGGUGGGUACGGGCUGGCUUGAGUGAAGUAGGGGAGGGUGGAAUUCAUGGUGUAGCGGUGGAAUGCGCAGAUAUCAGGAGGAAUACCGGUGGCGAAGGCGGGUCUCUGGGCUGUUACUGACACUGAGGAGCGAAAGCAUGGGGAGCGAACAGG